UGGGGAAUCUUGCACAAUGGGGAACCGUAGCAUGCAGCGACGCCGCGUGAGCGAUGAAGCCCUUCGGGUGUAAAGCUCUUUCGGCAGGAACGAUAAUGACGGUACCUGAAGAAGAAGCUGCGGCUAACUACGUGCCAGCAGCCGCGGUAAUACGUAGGCAGCAAGCGUUGUUCGGAGUUACUGGGCGUAAAGAGUGUGUAGGCGGUUCUCUAAGUUCCGUGUGAAAUCUCCCGGCUCAACUGGGAGGGUGCGCGGGAAACUGGAGGGCUGGAGUAUGGGAGAGGAAAGCGGAAUUCCUGGUGUAGCGGUGAAAUGCGUAGAUAUCAGGAGGAACACCUGCGGUGUAGACAGCUUUUUCUUGGACCAUCACUGACGCUGAGACACGAAAGCGUGGGUAGCAAACA
rnacentral:rRNA from 1 species